GGAGCUGUAGUUCAAUGGUUAGAAUGUUGGUCUCCAGAACCAGUGAUGGGGGUUCGAUUCCCUCCAGCUCCA
rnacentral:tRNA from 1 species